rnacentral:sRNA from 1 species
ACGUCGCACUCGUACACGCCGGUUCCUCCCCCCACCGUCCGCACCCACCUGACACCUGCUCGCCACGUGUUGUUGGCC